UACAGAGGGUGCGAGCGUUGUUCGGAAUUAUUGGGCGUAAAGCGCGUGUAGGCGGCUUUGCAAGUCGGGUGUGAAAGCCCUCGGCUCAACCGAGGAAGUGCGCCCGAAACUGCAGAGCUUGAGUACCGGAGAGGAUGGCGGAAUUCCCCAAGUAGAGGUGAAAUUCGUAGAUAUGGGGAGGAACACCGGUGGCGAAGGCGGCCAUCUGGACGGAUACUGACGCUGAGACGCGAAAGCGUGGGUAGCAAACAGG
rnacentral:rRNA from 1 species